UACGUAGGGUGCGAGCGUUAUCGGAAUUACUGGCGUAAAGCGUGCGCAGGCGGUGAUGUAAGACCGAUGUGAAAUCCCCGGGCUUAACCUGGGAAUGGCCUGGAAACUGGCGAACUGGAGUGCGGCAGAGGGGGGUGGAAUUCCGCGUGUAGCAGUGAAAUGCGUAGAGAUGCGGAGGAACACCGAUGGCGAAGGCAGCCCCCUGGGCUAGCACUGACGCUCAGGCACGAAAGCGUGGGGAGCAAACAGG
rnacentral:rRNA from 1 species